rnacentral:rRNA from 1 species
AUCUACAGCCGUACCACCCUGAAUGCGCCCGAUCUCGUCUGAUCUCGGAAGCUAAGCAGGGUCGGGCCUGGUUAGUACUUGGAUGGGAAAAAAGAGGAAGCCUUCUCUU